GAGUUUGAUCCUGGCUCAGGACGAACGCUGGCGGCGCGCCUAACACAUGCAAGUCGAACGAGCGAGAGAGAGCUUGCUUUCUCGAGCGAGUGGCGAACGGGUGAGUAACGCGUGAGGAACCUGCCUCAAAGAGGGGGACAACAGUUGGAAACGACUGCUAAUACCGCAUAAGCCCACAGCUCGGCAUCGAGCAGAGGGAAAAGGAGCAAUCCGCUUUGAGAUGGCCUCGCGUCCGAUUAGCUAGUUGGUGAGGUAAUGGCCCACCAAGGCGACGAUCGGUAGCCGGACUGAGAGGUUGAACGGCCACAUUGGGACUGAGACACGGCCCAGACUCCUACGGGAGGCAGCAGUGGGGAAUAUUGCACAAUGGGGGAAACCCUGAUGCAGCGACGCCGCGUGGAGGAAGAAGGUCUUCGGAUUGUAAACUCCUGUUGUUGAGGAAGAUAAUGACGGUACUCAACAAGGAAGUGACGGCUAACUACGUGCCAGCCGCCGCGGUAAUUC
rnacentral:rRNA from 1 species